rnacentral:rRNA from 1 species
UACAGAGGUCCCAAGCGUUGUUCGGAUUCACUGGGCGUAAAGGGUGCGUAGGCGGUCGGGUAAGUCUGAUGUGAAAUCUCACAGCUUAACUGUGAAACUGCAUUGGAUACUAUCCGGCUCGAGGAAUGGAGGGGCGACUGGAAUACUUGGUGUAGCAGUGAAAUGCGUAGAUAUCAAGUGGAACACCAGUGGCGAAGGCGAGUCUCUGGACAUUUCCUGACGCUGAGGCACGAAAGCGUGGGGAGCAAACAGG